UAUAUUACUCUUUUAUUGGUGAAGAAGAGAGACUCCUUAUAAAGGAAGUGGCAUUUGAAGACAUAUUUAAUACCUCGAAUGCCUCAAAUUCAUUGAAGGCCAUGCUCUUGGAGGAAUACAGGUUUGAUACCUUAAAUGCCUCUAUUUAAUCCUCAUGACCUGAAAUAACGUCUUUCUGGGAAUUUACUGAAUGUCCUUGUGGUCACUGCUAGGCUUCUUUAUCUAUUAAACUGGAAGAAAGGUUGUAACUUUGUUAGGAAAUAAAGUUCUAAAUGAGGCAUCAAUGCCAUUGAAGACUUCUUUUGUCAGGAGGCUGCACAUAAAUUCAUGUGAGAUUUUUUGUAUACUACAUUCAUCAUGCUCAAUUAUUGGAUUUUGUAUGCAAUUGAUUUGUCUUUACUAAUCAAGUUACAUGCUCAAAAUGUAUUGGAUGUAAGAAUUUGGUGUAGCUUAUGCAUUUUAAGGACCAGAAGCUUAUAGUAUACACUUCAUGCUAUUUCAUGCAGGGUAAAAGCUAUCAAUAUUAGCUAUUCAUUAGCUGGGCUUAGGUCAAAAGUUGAAUUGUACAAGAGUUUUAGUUGUGGACAAAAUUACACCACCAGUUAUAUAAAUACACACACACACACAUAUAUAUAGAUAUUCAGUUAAAUUAAAUCAUCUACCAUCAGUGUUUAUGCAGACACCCCUUUCUUUUCCCUCCCUAUCCCAACUUCGCUUUUUUCCAUUUCAAAAGUUUUGGUAAAAGGCGGAGAAUACUGUGUGUGGCUAUAUGUUUUGUGUAAUCUUCCUACGUACACUGAAUUUACUUUUAAAAGUUUUGUUAUUUACAUGCCGUAUAAGACUACAUACCUGUUUGUCAACAUUCUGGAAACCCGGAAAUGAUUUAAUGAAAACGUAUAUUUGGAACACACCAUAAGAACAGAUUUACUUUUUACGUGUCUAAUUAUUAUUUUCUUGCAAAUAAUUUUUUAUGAAAAAAGUGUAAUCUUAGCAUCUUCCGUUGAAAGCUCCUUUGCGCUCCCCAUGUCACAGCCAUAUAGCUUGUCACAACUCAACCUCCUCUGGUUGCUUUUAGCUGACUAUCAACAAGAUAGUCUGCAUUGAGGGGGGAGAAAGCUAUCAUAAAGAAAGCCAAUGAGCUAAUGAUGACGAGCGGCGUGCUUAUCUUGUGUGACAACACUACAGAGCGAGUGGCCGGAGACCUGCUUACAGCUUGGGCGGCAGCUUCUCGAUUCACUCACUCCGACAAGCUUUAUAUUUCAACAUCAACUAAGCAUGAGACAGAAUCUCGUUGUUGGGGAUUAUUCAUUGAAGGAAUCCUCUCAAUUGCAGCCAAUGUUGAAAGCAUAGAACUUUGAGAAGUGACAUUGAGACUUUAGCCGAACCAAGACUGUGCUCACUAUUUAUCUAACACUUCAUGGAUCACUGGAGGUUGCACAUCACAGCAUUCUGUUAAUAUUUCUGCUCAUAUAAGCAUAUGCUUAAUAACCAAUUAUAAUUCAUCUACCAGUUGGGUAGUAGGCAUACACCUUUCAUUUAUUUCAUUCAUGAGAUAACUACAAUUGUUGCCAUGUGAUUUUCCUGUAAGAAAUUUCUAGGGUCUUCAACCCUUUGUUUGUCUAAUGGCCUCCUGAUUGCACUAUCAUUUAAUCGUUGCAUCUGCCUACCAGAUCCUUAAUUUUCUUGAUUUACAUGCAGAUUUUUGAAGCUGCUUCAGCAUCAAACUUCUUGCCAAAUAUAAUCUCAGGGAUAUAUCGCUUUGUUACUAAUAUAAAGUGCUUCAGGUCAUCCACUGCUGGCUCGCAGCCUUCUGCUAUACAGUAUUUAUACUUGGGGUUCUGAGACCAUGAUUAAAACACUCAAACUGAGCUUCCUUUGAUGUUGAUGUCUUUAAAGUCUUUCCAACCGGAAUGGCGGAACCAAUAUACAAGAAAGGAUCUGCUCAAGAGGAAGACAAAGUCAUCAAUAUUAUGUGGCAUAUGUCCUGGUCAUACACUGCACUGUAACUCAGAUCAUUCUUGGUAUAUACUGUAAGAUUGCUUUCCGUACUUUUAGUUAUACAUUUGUUGUUCUUGUGCUGUGAUAUUGUAGUUCUAUAAUGUGAAAUCUGCACACAAGUAUCAGAGCUUUCCAAGGUGUUUGGUGAAUUUGGCCAUUGCUCUUUUAUGUUUGUUGUUCUACUGUAAUGACAGAAAGUUACAUAUUUUCCAGUAAAUAUUCAUAGCCUAUUAUUCCUUAUUCUUCGAAAGGCCAGUAUUUCUGCUUCGUUUAAUACUCUGUAGACAUAUGUCAAUUUUAUUUUGAAAUAACAGUGUGUAAUUGGC
rnacentral:lncRNA from 1 species